UACGAAGGGGGCUAGCGUUGUUCGGAAUCACUGGGCGUAAAGAGCGUGUAGGCGGCCUGAAAGGUCAGCUGUGAAAACUCGAGGCUCAACCUCGAGACGUCGGUUGAAACCAUCUGGCUAGAGUCCGGAAGAGGAGUGUGGAAUUCCCGGUGUAGCGGUGAAAUGCGCAGAUAUCGGGAAGAACACCAGUGGCGAAGGCGGCUCACUGGCCCGGUACUGACGCUGAGGUGCGAAAGCGUGGGGAGCAAACAGG
rnacentral:rRNA from 1 species